CUUGUUUGUCUCCCUUCCCAACUGUCAUGGGUUUAAUUUCCUUCAUUAGUGGGGCUCUUGAACUAAUGCCUGUGUACAAUUCCUGUGUUUGUCUUAUCUGCCUUGUGCAAGAAAAACUUGGUAUUAUUGCCUAAUGUUUACCCUUUCCCCCCUUGUUUCCGUCAGAUAUAACGCCUGAAUAUUCUCAAGAUCAAACACCAUCCCAAUCAAGAAAUGCCCUGCAUAAAGGAAUAUGUUCUCACUUGGCACCCAUUAAUUACCAUCGUUGUCAAUAAUCCUUUAACAAGUAAACAUCGGCCUAGAAGCAUCAUCCCUCCAUAAUUAAAGCCUCUUUUAGCUAACUAUGCAGUAUGUAACGAAAAAACAUGCAGCUAGCUUACUGACAUAAAUUCAGUAUCAGCAGACAUAUGAGAUGAACAUUAUAAGGGGGAAUGAUACAAAUCCUACUUGAUACAGAGAACUGCCUAGGAAUUACUGCGAGAUUUUUCAUCAAACCGAACAAAAGGUAUUCAGACAUAAGCACUGAAGUGAUUCUUCUACAUGGAAUCGCGAAAAAAAAAAAAGGAGGUGGGCGAAUUUUACCUAGUGCUUACGCGCGGAUGUGAAAUCCUCCCACGCAUCUGGCGGAGGCGAAAUCCCCAGUAAAAUUCAAGAUUCUGUUAGUUAUCCCCAAAUCCCCUUACUCUGAUCCCCCACCAAAGUUCAGACGAUUGAUCUAGCAAUCGAAGCUCAUAAGGCAGUAAGCUCACCUGCUGACGCCGACCUCUGCGGCAAAGGUUGCCCCGGACUCCGGACCAUGCAUCCUUCUUCUAGAACAUCCCGCCGCCGCCACUCCGGACUCCGGUGGUCGACGACGGCGAAGGGAAGGGAACCGUGGCGGCUGCUGUGGCGGCGGCGAAGUCGCCGAGACGUGGCUGCGGCUCUGGUGAGAAGUUGGGCUACAUGGGCCGAAACCGAA
rnacentral:lncRNA from 1 species